AGUGAACGCUGGCGGUGGGCCUAACACAUGCAAGUCGAACGGCAGCGCCGUACGUGCUUGCUCGUACGGGUGGCGAGUGGCGGACGGGUGAGGAAUACAUCGGAAUCUACUUUUUCGUAGGGGAUAACGUAUGGAACCUUAAGCUAAUACCGCCUACGACCUCCGGGUGGAAGCAGGGGAUAUUCGGACCUUGCGCGAGUGAAUGCGCCGGUGUCGGAUUAGCUAGUUGGCGGGGUACAGGCCCACCACGGCGACGAUCCGUAGCUGGUCUGAGAGGAUGAUCACCCGCACUGGAACGUAGACACGGACCAUACGACUACGGGAGGCAGCAGUGGGGAAUGGGGGACAAUGGGCGGGAGCAUGAUCCAGCCAGCCAGCGUCGGUGACGAAGGCCCUCGGGUUGUGAAGCCCGUUUGUUGGUAAAGAAAAUCAUCCGGUUAAGACCCCGCUGUUCUGACGGUACCUAAAGAAGAAGCACCGGCUAACUUCGUG
rnacentral:rRNA from 1 species